UAGGGAAUCUUCCGCAAUGGACGCAAGUCUGACGGAGCAACGCCGCGUGAGUGAAGAAGGAUUUCGGUUCGUAAAACUCUGUUGUUAGAGAAGAACAGCGCAUAGAGUAACUGUUAUGCGUGUGACGGUAUCUAACCAGAAAGCCACGGCUAACUACGUGCCAGCAGCCGCGGUAAUACGUAGGUGGCAAGCGUUGUCCGGAUUUAUUGGGCGUAAAGCGAGCGCAGGCAGUCAAUUAAGUCUGAUGUGAAAGCCCCCGGCUCAACCGGGGAGGGUCAUUGGAAACUGGUUGACUUGAGUGCAGAAGAGGAGAGUGGAAUUCCAUGUGUAGCGGUGAAAUGCGUAGAUAUAUGGAGGAACACCAGUGGCGAAGGCGACUCUCUGGUCUGUAACUGACGCUGAGGCUCGAAAGCGUGGGUAGCAAACAGG
rnacentral:rRNA from 1 species